UACGUAGGGUGCAAGCGUUGUCCGGAAUUAUUGGGCGUAAAGAGCUUGUAGGCGGUUUGUCGCGUCUGCUGUGAAAUUUCGGGGCUCAACCCCGAACUUGCAGUGGGUACGGGCAGACUAGAGUGUGGUAGGGGAGAAUGGAAUUCCCGGUGUAGCGGUGAAAUGCGCAGAUAUCGGGAGGAACACCGGUGGCGAAGGCGGUUCUCUGGGCCUUACCUGACGCUGAGGAGCGAAAGCGUGGGGAGCGAACAGG
rnacentral:rRNA from 1 species